rnacentral:rRNA from 1 species
UCUUUCGGGAUGCUGACGAGUGGCGGACGGGUGAGUAAUGCGUAGGAAUCUACCUAGUGGUGGGGGACAACUUGGGGAAACUCAAGCUAAUACCGCAUAAGUCCUAUGGGAGAAAGGGGGCCUCUUCUUGAAAGCUCUCGCUAUUAGAUGAGCCUACGUCGGAUUAGCUUGUUGGUGGGGUAAUGGCCUACCAAGGCGACGAUCCGUAGCUGGUCUGAGAGGACGAUCAGCCACACUGGGACUGAGACACGGCCCAGACUCCUACGGGAGGCAGCAGUAGGGAAUAUUGGACAAUGGGCGAAAGCCUGAUCCAGCAAUGCCGCGUGUGUGAAGAAGGCCUGCGGGUUGUAAAGCACUUUCAGUUGGGAAGAAAAGCAUUAGGCUAAUAUCCUAAUAUUUUGACGUUACCAACAGAAGAAGCACCGGCUAACUCUGUGCCAGCAGCCGCGGUAAUACG